GCUCUCUGUGGUGUGAUUGCAGCAUUGUUCCCUCAAAGCCAUGCCCAGCGCUGGACGAUUUUCUCUCACCUUACAGGAGAAGAAAGAAAGUCAUGCAGAUUUGGAACAAUAAAAGAUGUUGCUGGAUGGCAGAAAAAGGGAUGAAGGAGCUGUCCAAUAAUGUGGUGCUGAAAUGCAGUUGCAGCAUGAACAUCUCUGGGUGGGCCAUCUCAUGCUGUGCUUUUUAUCAGCU